rnacentral:lncRNA from 12 species
UUCAAUACCAGCUCGAAGAUCAGCUCAUUGACACUACUUUGGACUCAGCUUGUGGCUAAAGAUAUGUGAAUGGUCUCCUUCAGCUUCCUCUCUUCACUUCCACAAAGAAUAUCCCAC